AUUGAACGCUGGCGGCAGGCCUAACACAUGCAAGUCGCGCGGAGUGGCGGACGGGUGCGUAAUGCCUAGGAUUCUGCCUGGUCGUGGGGGAUAACGUCCGGAAACGGGCGCUAAUCCCGCAUAUUAUCAGCUGAGCUUAGGUCGGUUUAGCUAGGUGGUGGGGUAAAGGCCUAUCAGGGCGACGAUCCGUAACUGGUCUGAGAGGAUGAUCAGUCGCAUUGGAACUGAGACACGGUCCAGACUCCUACGGGGGGCAGCCGUGGGGAAUAUUGGGCAAUGGGCGAAAGCCUGAUCCAGCCAUGCCGCGUGUGUGAAGAAGGUCUUCGGAUUGUAAAGCACUUUAAGUUGGGAGGCGUUACCAACAGAAUAAGCACCGGCUAACUUCGUGCCAGCAGCCGCGGUAAUAC
rnacentral:rRNA from 1 species